rnacentral:rRNA from 1 species
AUUGAACGCUGGCGGCAGGCCUAACACAUGCAAGUCGAGCGAGCGGCGGGCGGGUGAGAAAAGUGUGGGGACUGCGCGCGAGCGGGGGAGAACAACUGGGGACGAUGGCUAAUACCGCAUACGGUAGGAUAACCCAUAUGAGAUUAGCUAGCGUGUAAGGGAAUGGCUUACCUCGGGGACGAUCCCUAGCUGGUCUGAGAGGAUGAUCAGCCACACUGGGACUGAGACACGGCCCAGACUCCUACGGAGGCAGCAGUGGGGAAUAUUGCACAAUGGGCGCAAGCCUGAUGCAGCCAUGCCGCGUGUAUGAAGAAGGCCCUAGGGUUGUAAAGUACUUUCAGCCGGGAGGCGUUACCGACAGAAGAAGCACCGGCUAACUCCGUGCCAGCAGCCGCGGUAAUUC